rnacentral:rRNA from 1 species
ACACUAUCCAACCUGCCGUCUACUCUUGGACAGCCUUCUGAAAGGAAGAUUAAUACAAGAUGGCAUCAUGAGUCCGCAUGUUCACAUGAUUAAAGGUAUUCCGGUAGACGAUGGGGAUGCGUUCCAUUAGAUAGUAGGCGGGGUAACGGCCCACCUAGUCUUCGAUGGAUAGGGGUUCUGAGAGGAAGGUCCCCCACAUUGGAACUGAGACACGGUCCAA